GGUCAGCCGCAGUGUAGAGGUCAUGUGACUGGGGCCUCCAGUCCUGAUUGGUCAGUGCUUUCUUUGUUCAGACUGUUGAGGUCACAGACCAGCCGCCAUGAUCCUUGGAGCUGUCUGGCAGCAUCUGGUGAUGUCUGUGGAAAGAUUUUCUGCCCAUUUUCCUUUUUAUAGACGCAUGAUGGACGGCACCGAUAUCUUGUACCUCCCGGAUCAUCUAUUGUUGCGGGUGACGCAUGCGCAGCAGUAUAGCCAGCAUCACCUAGCAACGCUGGACGCUCCGCUCGACGUUGUUCAUGCGCCCCCGGAAGUGACGUCGGCGCACUCCUGUGACAUCGCUAUCCGGAUGCGGCGCGCACUUAGAGAGCGUUGAAGCGGCCAUUAAGUAAUAUUCCCUGAGAGGCGAGGACUGAGCUGGGGUAAUUGUCUGAUGAGGAUACAAAGGCAGAACUCCAAGGCAGCAAGUACUAGGGAACGCCCAGCCACC